rnacentral:rRNA from 1 species
GAGGAAUAUUGCGCAAUGGGGGCAAGCCUGACGCAGCAACGCCGCGUGAGUGAGGAAGGUUUUCGGACCGUAAAGCUCUGUCGAGCGGGAAGAAAUGCAUGGUGGCUAAUAUCCAUCAUGCUUGACGGUACCGCUAAAGGAAGCACCGGCUAACUCCGUGCCAGCAGCCGCGGUAAUACGGGGGGUGCGAGCGUUGUUCGGAAUUAUUGGGCGUAAAGAGCGUGUAGGCGGCCGAAUAAGUCAGAUGUGAAAUCCCUGGGCUUAACCCAGGACGUGCAUUUGAAACUAUUCGGCUAGAGUAGGGGAGAGGAAAGUGGAAUUCCUGGUGUAGAGGUGAAAUUCGUAGAUAUCAGGAGGAACACCGGUGGCGAAGGCGACUUUCUGGCCCUAUACUGACGCUGAGACGCGAGAGCGUGGGUAGCAAAC